AUAAAGCUUGUGAUUGUAGAAGCUCUCCCCCUUCUUUUCUCUGUUUGCUCAUCAUGAGAUUUCUUUUUCCGAAACAGUCACUUUCUCCACCUCUCCCUCUCAGUUUUCACUCUCAAUCCUCUAAUUUUGAUGUCCAUUUCAACCUGAACCGGUGCUAUCCCUUCCAAACUUGGUUGUGACUUAGAGGAUGGUGUGAUGAUUAGGAGAAGGGUUACAUGGAGUACUCACAAACCAUGAAUCUAUAUCUAUGUUAGAGUUGCAUAGAUCUGCAUAAAAUUCUUCACCUAAGCAUUGAUGAAUCUCUCUGUGAAUUUCUUAUCUAGACAUCUGCUUUUUCUUUAACCAUGCGCUGCAUCUUCAAUUUGCUUGUCGCAUUUUUUUUUCUAGAAGAUAAUUACUAGCUAAGAGAGCUUUCUUCAGUCCACUCAUGGGUGGUAGUAGGAUUUAAUUAGCUGCCGACUCAUUCAUCCAAAUACUGAGUUAAAAGGACAAGGAGAUUACCCAGUAAAUGAGUGAAUGAUGCGGGAGACAAAUUGAAUCCUAAGCUUCCUGUACUUGGACUGAAGGGAGCUCCCUUUCCUUUUAUACUAUGUAUCUUAAACUUGUUUCUUGUGUUUAAUAUAUACCUGAUGUUCGGCUGGCGGCAAAUGCUGUGUGUCUAUAUGUAUAUAUAUUCUUCCAGACAGCAUGAAAUCAAGUUUUUGCUCAGGUGAGCUUUCUUAAGAAAACUGCCUUUUAGGGAUAGACAAGGAAUUUUAGGGUUUUGAUCAAGCUGCAGCUGUUUCUUUGUUAAAGGCAACAACGCAUGAGGGGCAGAAGAUUUUACAAGCUCACGCUCCACGACAUUAGCUUCUCGGGUCUUGCUCUUAAACUGCAACAAGUUCCUAGACGGAUAAAAAUGUCCCCCAGAAGUUGAAUUACUGAAAUAUCCUCAAUGGAGGUUCUAACCCGUGGUUCAUGGAAUAUACACUUUAAUUUGCAAAAAUAACAUAAUGUCUAUUUUUCCUACUAAUUUUGACUUGUUUAAUUACGAGUAAACAAAAACAAAUGUAUCCACUAAGAAACUUUAGAGCUCUCCUCAGCUGGAGAUUUUAUUUUGUUCACUUGUAAGAUUAGAGCGUUUAUAUCAUGUUAUUUUCCUUUUCAUUCGUU